GCGGGAGUGGCGCAAUGGUAGCGCAAUAGCUUCCCAAGCUAAAGGUUGCGGGUUCAAAUCCCGUCUCCCGCU
rnacentral:tRNA from 1 species